GUCGUUCAAUACUGCGUGUCGAGAGGAUGUCAGAGGGGAGUGGAAUUUUCCGGAGUAGCGGUNAAAUGCGCAGAGAUCGGAAAGUACACCAAUGGCGAAGGCAGCUCCCUGGGGCAAACCCUGACGCUAAGAGACGAAAGCUAGGGGAACGAACAGGAUUAGAGACCCUGGUAGUCAUAGCCCUUCACGAUGGAUGCUGGAUAUGGGACCAUAGCGCUCCGUGUCUGAAGCUGAACGCGGUAAGCAUCCCGCCUGGGGACUACGGCCGCAAGGCUAAGACUCAAACGAAGGGACGGGACCCCGCACAAGCAGCGGAGCGUGUCGACUCUAAUUCGAUGAUACACGAAGAACCUUACCUGGGUUUGACAUCUAGGUGGUAGUGAAGCGAAAGCGGAGCGACCUUUCGGGGAGCAUAAACAGGUACUGCAUGGCUAUCGUCAGCUCGUACCGUGAGGUGUCGGGUUAAGUCCCGUAACGAGCAGCAACCUUUGCCCUCACGUUAUACGUGUCAGAGGGGACUGCCGUCGGUAAGCCGGAGGAAGGUGGGGAUGACAGUCAAGUCAGUAUGGCCUUUAUAUCCAGGGCUACACACACGCUACAAUGUUCAGUACAAAGUGGCAGCGAAGCCGCGAGGUGGAGCGAAUCUCAGCAAAGCUGGUAGUAGUUCGGAUUGCAGGCUGCAACCCGCAUUGCACGAAGCUGGAGUUGAUAGUAACCGCGCGUCAGCCAUAGUGCGGUGAAUACGUUCCCGGGGUUUGUACACACCGCCCGUCACA
rnacentral:rRNA from 1 species